rnacentral:rRNA from 1 species
CAGUAGCCGCGGUAAUACGAAGGGGGCUAGCGUUGUUCGGAAUUACUGGGCGUAAAGCGCACGUAGGCGGACAUUUAAGUCAGGGGUGAAAUCCCGGGGCUCAACCCCGGAACUGCCUUUGAUACUGGGCGACUUGAGUGUGGAAGAGGUCAGUGGAAUUGCGAGUGUAGAGGUGAAAUUCGUAGAUAUUCGCAGGAACACCAGUGGCGAAGGCGGCUGACUGGUCCACAACUGACGCUGAGGUGCGAAAGCGUGGGGAGCAAACAGGAUUAGAUACCCGAGUAGUCCCUGUCUCUUAUAC